rnacentral:sRNA from 1 species
ACUGGGCGUGGUGGCCCACACCUGUAAUCCCAGUGGCUUGGGAGGCUGAGGCAGGAGGAUCAAAAGUUCAAAGCCAGACUUAGAAACUUAGCAAAGCCUAAGCAACUUAGUGAGACCCUGUCUCAA